CGGACACGCGCUUCACAACGCGAGUGGGCACACGUGCCACUCGGAGAAAGGAAAAAAAGAGACAGGCUGUCCGGAGGACCCGGUUGAGAUGGCAUGUGUGCAUCCUUGAGAACUAAACUGAUAGAAAAGCUCAAACUCCUACAUUUGAAUGACCAAGUCUCUUGGGGAGGGAGGGUCAUCCCCCUGGCUGGGCUGUUCAUGCAUAUUGGCACACAAUGGGGAGAAAGCAACAAGUUUACCCAUGAGUCUCCACCCCACAACUCCCAACCGGUUACGCUGAAGUUGCGGGAUCCACCUACUCUGGCAUGGCAAGAGUUUGAACGCGGCUACGAGCAAAAAAAGUGCUCCUUUGGCUAAAUCUGCCCCUUCGAAAGUCUGCCCUUCUGCAGCCAAACGGUCAUUCAGCGUUUCUAUUUCUCGGCGUACUGAGAGUCAAACAGGUCACAUGUUAAAAGACUGACAGCAAUAAGACCAACUGCACUCUGCACUGCACAGCACGAGAUUCACUGCCAUCAAUGGCGCCAUGUUCAGACCAGGUUACUUGCCAGGGAAGAAUAGGAGCUUUGUGUUUAUAAAAGCCUAUCAGAGAGGCUCAGGUCAGAAAAUAAACAUGCUGGGUCUUUGUUAGGUACUGUAGCUACUUGUUCCACGAGCAGACAUCAUGGGAGAUAUCCUGCUUAAAAAGUCCUGCAAUGGCCUCUUUGAAACAGAAAUCUCUAAGGAUCAGACCAAAAAUCAGCAGUGACACCAACAAAUGCUUGUGCUUGUAAUUGAAUUUAUCAUUUGGUUUAUAGCAAUGUUGUUACUUUACUAAUUACUGCAAAUGUCAAACUGAAUGCCAUUCUUAUCCGUUGUUUUAACAGCAACAGUAAUCAAUGUGAGAAUGACUUAUUGUUCCUUUAAGCAAUGCAAUUGUUAUUUUUUUCAAAGAAAGUCAAAUAGUUGUUGAA